AGGGCACCACCAGGAGUGGAGCCUGCGGCUUAAUUUGACUCAACACGGGAAAACUCACCCGGCCCGGACACUGGAAGGAUUGACAGAUUGAGAGCUCUUUCUUGAUUCAGUGGGUGGUGGUGCAUGGCCGUUCUUAGUUGGUGGAGUGAUUUGUCUGGUUAAUUCCGAUAACGAACGAGACUCUAGCCUACUAAAUAGAUCGUCGGCUUACAAACGCCGGCGAGACUUCUUAGAGGGACAGGCGGUGAUUCAACCGCACGAAACAGAGCAAUAACAGGUCUGUGAUGCCCUUAGAUGUCCGGGGCCGCACGCGCGCUACACUGAAGUGAUCAGCGUGCUUUUUCAACCUACUCUGUCAAGAGUGGGGAACCCAAUGAACCUUCUUCGUGAUUGGGAUAGGGGAUUGUAAUUGUUCCCCUUGAACGAGGAAUUCCCAGUAAGCGCGAGUCAUAAGCUCGCGUUGAUUACGUCCCUGCCCUUUGUACACACCGCCCGUCGCUACUACCGAUUGAAUGUUUC
rnacentral:rRNA from 1 species